AACACUACAUUGAGGAAAUGCUUUGUAGCUGACGGUACCUUAUCAGAAAGCGAUGGCUAACUAUGUGCCAGCAGCCGCGGUAAUACAUAGGUCGCAAGCGUUAUCCGGAAUUAUUGGGCGUAAAGCGUUCGUAGGCUGUUUAUUAAGUCUGGAGUCAAAUCCCAGGGCUCAACCCUGGCUCGCUUUGGAUACUGGUAAACUAGAGUUAGAUAGAGGUAAGCGGAAUUCCAUGUGAAGCGGUGAAAUGCGUAGAUAUAUGGAAGAACACCAAAGGCGAAGGCAGCUUACUGGGUCUAUACUGACGCUGAGGGACGAAAGCGUGGGGAGCAAACAGGAUUAGAUACCCUGGUAGUCCACGCCGUAAACGAUGAUCAUUAGUCGGUGGGUUAUUCACUGACGCAGCUAACGCAUUAAAUGAUCCGCCUGAGUAGUAUGCUCGCAAGAGUGAAACUUAAAGGAAUUGACGGGGACCCGCACAAGCGGUGGAGCAUGUGGUUUAAUUUGAAGAUACACGGAGAACCUUACCCACUCUUGACAUCUUCCGCAAAGCUAUAGAGAUAUAGUGGAGGUUAACGGAAUGACAGAUGGUGCAUGGUUGUCGUCAGCUCGUGUCGUGAGAUGUUUGGUCAAGUCCUGCAACGAGCGCAACCCCUAUCUUCAGUUACUAACGAGUUAUGUCGAGGACUCUGGAGAUACUGCCUGGGUAACUGGGAGGAAGGUGGGGAUGACGUCAAAUCAUCAUGCCUCUUACGAGUGGGGCAACACACGUGCUACAAUGGUCGGUACAAAGAGAAGCAAUAUGGCGACAUGGAGCAAAUCUCAAAAAGCCGAUCUCAGUUCGGAUUGAAGUCUGCAACUCGACUUCAUGAAGUCGGAAUCGCUAGUAAUCGCAGAUCAGCUAUGCUGCGGUGAAUACGCUCUCGGGUCUUGUACACACCGCCCGUCACACCAUGGGAGCUGGUAAUACCCAAAGUCGGUUUGCUAACCUCGGAGGCGACUG
rnacentral:rRNA from 1 species